CCUUUGAUAGCUCAGCUGGUAGAGCGGAGGACUGUAGAUCCUUAGGUCGCUGGUUCAACUCCGGCUCGAAGGA
rnacentral:tRNA from 1 species